rnacentral:tRNA from 1 species
GCCGGGUUAGCUCAGUUGGUAGAGCACUUGAUUUGUAAUCAUGUGGUCGUGGGUUCGAUUCCCACACCCGGCU